AGAAGAACAAGGAGAAGCAGGCUCAGUGGGACUCAAUCUCAGGACCCUGCGAUCCCUACCCGAGGUCCCCAGGCACUGAACCUAAGAGGGUAGAAGAAAAGUUUUUUCCCUCCCCAACAAUAUCAAGACAUCCAGAUUUAAAAAGCAGAGUCCUGGCUUGUUUGCUG
rnacentral:lncRNA from 1 species